rnacentral:lncRNA from 7 species
GUAGCCUUUGGCAGCUCCAAAUACCAUCGUGUACAGUGUGUUCGUGUGAAUUUUGCCUCCCUCCGAUCGGUGUUCUAACAACCCAGCAACUCGCUUACCAGCCGACCAGCCGCCACACCACAUUUGCAUACCUCUGAGCCCCUUCCGUCGAGCACCGAGACCCCUGUCCCAGCCUACCUGGGCUCCAGCCAUUCGACCGUCACCCGCCCUAGCAUCAAUGCCUCGCCCGCUGGGUCGUCGCUCGCAUCGCUCUCUUGCCUGGCGACACCUUUUUUAGUGCAGAUUGCAGAGGACAUGUCGCCUUGGCUGUAGAAUAAUCGAGUAAGCGAUAGAAGCCACUCGUAUGGAGAGGUAGUAGGAAGAAAUCAUGAAACAUUUUUCACCGUCAGAAUUAGAUCGAGCGACCAAGAAAAAAGAAGACAUGGCAUUGCGAGAUUUAUUGGGUUCAAUUGUGCUCUACAUUUCAAAGCUGAGCUGUGAUGAUUGGUUGCUAAACAAACCCUCGCCUUUAUAAAUCAUAAAUGGAUCUGGAGGAAAAUAACACUUCGUGUACACCAUUUGGAGACCUGAUAAACACCACCAAUGAAGGUAACCAUUUAUCUAUAUGGAUCUAUGUAGUAUAGUUUGGGAAAUUUCUAUCUUGCUU